AACGAACGCUGGCGGCGUGGAUAAGACAUGCAAGUCGAACGGGAUUUGUUUGGUAGUAAUAUUAAACAAGUCUAGUGGCGAAUGGGUGCGUAACACGUGGGCAAUCUACCGAAAAGUGGGGGAUAGCUCGCCGAAAGGCGAAUUAAUACCGCAUGUGACCUUGGGGGACAUCCCUUGAUGGUUAAAGCCGGGGUAACCUGGCGCUUUUUGAUGAGCCCGCGGCCUAUCAGCUAGUUGGUGAGGUAACGGCUCACCAAGGCUAUGACGGGUAGCUGGUCUGAGAGGACGACCAGCCACACUGGAACUGAGACACGGUCCAGACACCUACGGGUGGCAGCAGUCGAGAAUUUUUCUCAAUGGGGGAAACCCUGAAGGAGCGACGCCGCGUGGAGGAUGAAGGUUUUCGGAUUGUAAACUCCUGUCAUUGGGGAACAAGUGCGUGGGGAGUAACUGCCCUGCGUUUGAUAGUACCCGAAGAGGAAGAGACGGCUAACUCUGUGCCAGCAGCCGCAGUA
rnacentral:rRNA from 1 species